rnacentral:tRNA from 1 species
UCCCUGAUGGUCCAGUGGCCAAGACUCCAUGCUCCCAAUGCUGGGGGCCUGUGUUCAAUCCCCAGUCAGGGAA